GCUAGGUGUAAGAUUUGUUUUACAGUAAGUUAUUUGGAUGAAUAUAAACAUUUUGACCAUCACUGACUCUAAAGACAAUUUAAGAACUAACUCAGGGAAAUAAAGAUAGCACUAGGUUUUGCUGUGUACUCUUAGCACUCUAAGCUUCAGGGAACAGCAAUUAGAGAGCCUGCUUGACCUUAUCUAGACUGUCUUUGGUCUUGGGGUUAUUUUAACGUAUCAAUACACGUUUAAUUGCUAUGAAUAAGAAACUGAAACCAAACUAGUCAAAACCCAAGUUAAACCAGAAAGGAGAAUUUUAUCAAGCUUUAACCCCCAAAGUACUAUCAAACAUAUUGAGCUGACCAUUAACCCGUCGGGAACACUGAGUCCCAACUUGAACUUGGAAGUGACUCACUCUGUGAUCCCAGCUUGACUCCCUUAAACCCUCUGCUCCUUAGUUUCCACAUUUGUCUCCCUUUAACAGGUAUGUAAAGACCUUGCAGAAAAAGAUUUUUUAAAAAGUGACCUGUUUACAGGCAUCUGAGUAGGAAAUCAUUUUACAGGAUCAAAGAAAAGAAACUUUUUAAAAAAGCAAACUUCUAUCCUGGGUUGACUUUUUAUCAGUAACACAUUACAGUCUGUUGCCAUAUAGGGUUAGAAAUCAGCAGUCAACCAAAAGUUAAGUUCCAAGAAUCUGCGUUGUUAAAGUGCCAGAAAGCAGAAGGUAGCUUGUCAUAUUUCUUAAACCACUGGUAAUAUGGGAGCAGGCUGAAGCAGGCAGCUAGAAAAACCGUAGGCAGGAUGGAACAGAGCCCUGGGGUUAAAAAGAGGAGGUAAAGGUGCAGUGGAAUCUCUGGCUCAACAAAGUGGUUAAUUGUUGUCACAUGAUUCAAAUAUGUUUAUUUCUUAAAUCUUCACUCCAGACUGUGGUGGACAAGGAGCUUUUUUUUUUUUUUUUUUUGCUGCAGACAACUAUUAACAAGGAAUAAGGGGGAAGAAAGAAAAGAAGGGAAAAGAAUGAAAGAAAAAGAUUGUAUUUGCAUUAUCAAAAUGGAUCAACAAUCGAUUCUUUAAAAGCUGCCAGAACAACAUUUCACCAUUAUUUUCCAGGUCCAGCUAUCAGCAGAACUCCCUGUCCAAGGAGGCUCAUAGCAGCUACGCAGAGAACAGAGAAGGAAGCUGCUUGCUGUAGCUGGCACCUUAAGGACGACAGACAGCCGACAGGGCAACUCACCCUGAAGAUCUUCUCUCUGGUGGAGAAAGAGUACAGUGGCCAACACAAAGAUGCAAUCAAGGGAGGGAAGUAAAACCCAGACAUUUAAUAAACAGGAUAAUCAGGACA
rnacentral:lncRNA from 1 species